AUUACACGACUUAAACUAUAGCAUCUACAAGAACCUAUUGAGAUCCACAUUAACAUAGAUAAGAACCUAUUUAGUUCACACUAGCAUAGACAAGAAGCUAUUUAAUUCCAUCACCGAUAAUUAUUUCCAAUCUAAUUACCAAAGUUAGUAAAGUCAACAGAAGUGGAAAUAUUGUCAUCUUAUCUAGUCGUGAAAAAUCAACAUGGAAUGUCAACAAGAUCCGCGUUCUUGCGAGCAGACUAGGAUGAAUAGAAUGUCUCUGUUUUUGUCUGAGACAUUCAUAGUAUGUCAUGCAUACGUAGAACGAGAACUUUCUUAACUUCCACGUUGAGUUUUAAAAACUGGUCGUUUCCCUGCUAUUCGUUCGACGGUAGGAAACGAUGAAAUUGAGCAGUCUCUGGAAGUGUACUUCGUCCUAUAUAUAGGUUCCUAUACAUAGAUUUGUCGCUCAAAGCUGAUUUCGCCCGUGUCUUUUAUUACUAAUUUCUCGUUUCAAGUAUACUUGUGUCUUGUUUUUACACGUUGCUUGUAGGAAAUAGACCACGUAAUCUUUGCAUUUCCACAAGUGCUCUUUCGUCAUGCAGUUUAUUGAGAACUUUGUUCUAGUUUCUAAAUUCUAGUUUACUAAAUCAGAUAUUGCUAAUUCGUAUCUUUGAAUCUGCUUCCAAUUGAUUCUUUGUCAAAUUUUAUAAGUAAUGAGUCCAGCAAUUAUCCCUCUUCCAGCUGAUUUCUUCGAAGUACUGGCCACGUGCCACGUAAAUUUCUUUACGAUUCCCAUUGCGUCGUUUAUCAAGCCAACAGAAAUUGGUAUGUUUUGUCGCAACAUAACUCCUGAUCCCUUGGCUAAUGUUAUUGUAUGCAACAGUUAUCCACGAUAUAUUUACAGGAAUAACAUUUUCCUGUAUAAUUGUAGUCUUAAAUGAAUUAUUCGCAAAUUCUUAUAAGAUACCAUUGAGAUCUCAUUAAUAAUCAACUAUCAUGUAUGACGCCACUUUCGUCUCUCCUGUUCAAGCUUCUGUCCUGUCAUAGACUGAUACGGUAUAGUAGUGGUUUUCUCAAUAGACAAGGAGAAAACGGAAUGCAACAUUUUGCCAAAUAUUUCAAAGAUGGUAACGCCAAUCUUUAUAUAAAUAUUAGUUGGUCAUUGUAUAUUUUUAAUUGGCAUAAAUCAUGACUGGAUCUUUCAAACAUUUAUUAUUAACACGUUGAUCGCAUCGCGCAAAUCGAUCAAGUUUUCUGCGGGACCUAAAUCCGUGGCGCGUAGAUCCAGAGUGAUUAGCUAGAAUAGCGAUAGCGAAAUAUAGUAGAAUCGUCCUAUGACUCAUAUGCCGCUACAUCGUGACUCGUUACUUAGUUCGGUUGUUCCUAUGAGAUUUCGGAAAAAUCGCGCACAGGGAUACAUUACGUCGUAAUAAAACAGCGUACAGAUUUUCUACUCACUCGGAUGUUUUCGCGUCCUUAUACUCGAUCAGAUGAUCUCGCUUUAUAACCCCCAAAAAUGAUAGCUAAUCAAAAAACUACAUCAACCGCUCACAAUAGCUAUCGACAAAUAACAUUAUUUCCACGUAGCUGAAGAAAUCCGACCUAUGAUUGGCGACCGUUUUAUGACGGACUCUAAACAUCGAAGAGACUCCGCACGCUCAAAAGAGCUGCAUAGUGAGAUGUGCUUUUGCUUUUGUGUCGGCCAGGCCUCACUACUACAAUGACGAAACUUUUUAUUUCCUUAAAUUUUAUUAACAAAAGAUUUCAUUAACAUGUCAGUGAGAUUAUCUUGAUUAAAACGAAUCCAAACACGAUAUUAUUAUAAAAUUCGGUUAUACUUUAAUUGGGCAUAUCAAUCUUUCUUUUUCAACCGUUGAUCUAUUGGCCGGGCUUGUCUCUGUGCAAUAUCAAAAACUAGGUCCUAGUUGUUGAAACAAAAUCUUAAGCUUAGUUCAUACUAGCAGACAAUUGUUUACAGAGCCGUAUCACAACCAAUCAGCAUAUGUCUUUCAUGGAAAAUCCGCAGAAAAGGGGAGACAAAGUUCAAGUCUAGAACUAAUUCGUAGAUAAAAACCGUGUCCACACUGACAGACAACUAUUGGUAGACAUGCGUCAUCCGAGGGGGGGGGGAAGCCCCGUAAAAACCACGUCCGCGGACAAGUAUUAGGUCGUCCGGAAAGUUCUUUUCGCAUUCGCCGCUCGGGGCCUUAUCUUGUUUUGCAUAAGUAAACAAACAACCAGAUCACUCUACCGUCAAUCGUGUGUUUACUAGUUAUCCUCUACUGAAGCAAGAAAACAGUUCUCGACGUUAGUAGAAAGUGUAUCGAGUAUUUUUUGCGUGGUGAAUGAUGGAAAACCAAAAGAUGCAUUAUGGUCAUAUUAUGUCUCACUGAUUUAAACAAGACAGUAAGCCUAAAAAAACACUGCAAAGGAGAUUUGUGACGUUUAUGGUGAUCGGUCUAUAACUGUUCAAACAGUCCGGAAUUGAUUUAGGAGGUUUAGAGUCGGAAAUUUUAAUCUGAAAAAUGAAGAUUGCAGCGAACGUCCAUCCACCACUGAUACUGACCUUAUCAAAGCCUACCUCGAUGAAAACUCAAGGUCUAGUGUUCGUGAGAUAGUAGAUGCUUUAGACAUUCCGCGAAUUUAACAAAGAUUGGGUACGUUAAUUGCUACGGAGAGCAAUCUCCUUAACCGAAUCUCGACAUGCGAUUUGUUAAUUCAACGCAACAAAAGAGAGCCAUUUUUUAAAAAGUUAAUUACUGGGGAUGAAAGUUGGAUUCUCUACGACACACUGCGCGCAAGCGAUCUUGAUCGAGUCGAGGUAAGUGUCCUCCAACGGUAGCAAGACUUCACCCGAAGAAGAUGCUGCUUUCAAUUUGGUGGGACUGGAAGGGUAUCCUUUACUAAGAAUUACUUCUGGAAGGACAAACGAUCAAUAAUGAAAAAUAUUGCACCCAACUCGAAAAACUUAAGGAAGCCAUUAUCACAAAACGUCCUGAAGUGGUGAACAGACGUGACGUUGUGUUCUACCACGAUAACGCGGGGCCACGCGUUUCUUUAGCGGUGCGAACGAAACUUUUAGAGUUUGAUUGGGAUGUUUUACCACAUCCUCCAUAUUCUUCAGACCUUGCACCAUCGAACUAUUAUUUAUUUCUCUCCAUAAAGAAUUUUCUUCGCAAUAGAAAAUUCAAAUCAGUAAACGAAAUAGAAAACGGCCUCGAAAAAUAUUUUAAAUGUAAGCCAAGAGAAUUUUGGAAAAAUAGCAUUAUGAGGCUCCCGGAGAGAUGGCAAAAGGUGAUAGAAGAGAAAGGAUCAUACAUCAUUUAAGAAAGAAAGCAAGAGACAACGAAAAAUGUGUUUUUUCCUCGUUUCAGAUCAACGGUUCUAUUGUGCAAUGCGGCGCUAGUCAAGAAAGGCCUUGUCUAAAGGUUCUUUUCUCUUCACAGUUUCCUAGCUUAGGAGAAAUAAGUUUUGUGGGCCCAUUCGAAAUGUCGCAGUUGUUCCCUUUUAUUGUCCCUAUAAUCUGUCCAGCAGGAGAAGAGAGCAGACACAAACAAAAUGUGAUUGCAGCGGCCGCAACUAUUGGCUCUCGCCUCGUUGAAUAAAUUAUAGCUGCAUUCUU